rnacentral:rRNA from 1 species
GACGAACGCUGGCGGCGUGCUUAACACAUGCAAGUCGAACGGAAAGGCCCUGCUUUUGUGGGGUGCUCGAGUGGCGAACGGGUGAGUAACACGUGAGUAACCUGCCCUUGACUUUGGGAUAACUUCAGGAAACUGGGGCUAAUACCGGAUAGGAGCUCCUGCUGCAUGGUGGGGGUUGGAAAGUUUCGGCGGUUGGGGAUGGACUCGCGGCUUAUCAGCUUGUUGGUGGGGUAGUGGCUUACCAAGGCUUUGACGGGUAGCCGGCCUGAGAGGGUGACCGGCCACAUUGGGACUGAGAUACGGCCAAGACUCCUACGGGAGGCAGCAGUGGGGAAUAUUGCACAAUGGGCGAAAGCCUGAUGCAGCACCGCCGCGUGCGGGAUGACGGCCUUCGGGUUGUAACCCGCUUUCGCCUGUGACGAGGCGUGGGUGCCGGUAAUGGGUAAAGAAGCACCGGCUAACUAC